rnacentral:rRNA from 1 species
AGCUAGAGUUUGAUCCUGGCUCAGGAGAACGCUGGCGGCGUGCCUAACACAUGCAAGUCGAACGGGACUUAUUGGAAUGAGACUUCGGUCAAAGGAAAAUAAGUUUAGUGGCGGACGGGUGAGUAACGCGUGAGCAACCUGCCUUUCAGAGGGGGACAACAGUUGGAAACGACUGCUAAUACCGCAUAACGUACGAAGAAGGCAUCUUUUUUGUACCAAAGAUUUAUCGCUGAAAGAUGGGCUCGCGUCUGAUUAGAUAGUUGGCGGGGUAACGGCCCACCAAGUCGACGAUCAGUAGCCGGACUGAGAGGUUGAACGGCCACAUUGGGACUGAGAUACGGCCCAGACUCCUACGGGAGGCAGCAGUGGGGAAUAUUGGUCAAUGGGGGCAACCCUGAACCAGCAACGCCGCGUGAAGGAAGAAGGCUUUCGGGUUGUAAACUUCUUUUGCCGGGGACGAAACAAAUGACGGUACCCGGCGAAUAAGCCACGGCUAACUACGUGCC